rnacentral:misc_RNA from 1 species
GAUGAAGAACGUAGCGAAAUGCGAUAAGUAAUGUGAAUUGCAGAAUUCAGUGAAUCAUCGAAUCUUUGAACGCACAUUGCGCCCGCCAGUAUUCUGGCGGGCAUGCCUGUCCGAGCGUCAUUUCAACCCUCGAACCCCUCCGGGGGUCCGGCGUUGGGGAUCGGGAACCCCUAAGACGGGAUCCCGGCCCCGAAAUACAGUGGCGGUCUCGCCGCAGCCUCUCAUGCGCAGUAGUUUGCACAACUCGCACCGGGAGCGCGGCGCGUCCACGACCGUAAAACACCCAACUUCUGAAAUGUUGACCUCGGAUCAGGUAGGAAUACCCGCUGAACUUAAGCAUAUCAAUAAGCGGAGGA